AUACCAAUUGGGAACUGNUAAAGGCGAAGGCAACCUUCUAUGUAAAAACUGACGUUAAGGGACGAAGGCUCAUGUAAGAUAAAAGGGUUAGAUACCCUAGUAUUUUGGGCAGAAAAUGAUGAGUGUCAUAUGCAAGAAUAUUUUUGUGUAUAAAUGAAAGUGUAAGCACUCCACCUCAAGAGUAACGUGGCAACAUGGGAACUGAAAUCAUUAGACCGUUUCUGAAACUCGUAGUGAAGUAUGUUGUUUAAUUUGAUGGUCCACAAAAAACCUUACCACAAUUUGUAUAACUAGAGUAUAUUUUAAUCUAGUUACAAGCGUUGCACGGCUGUCUUCAGUCAAUGUUGUGAAACUUUGGUUAGAUCCAUUUAAUUGACGUAAACCCUUACUUUAUUUAUUAUAAAGUAGUUCGCCGCUAUAUUGGUAGUGAUAUAUGGGACUAAGACAAGCCAUCA
rnacentral:rRNA from 1 species